rnacentral:rRNA from 1 species
GACGAACGCUGGCGGCGUGCUUAACACAUGCAAGUCGAACGAUGAAGCCUAGCUUGCUGGGUGGAAGAGUGGCGAACGGGUGAGUAACACGUGAGUAACCUGCCCAUGACUCUGGGAUAAGCGCUGGAAACGGCGUCUAAUACUGGAUAUGCACAGCGGCCGCAUGGUCAGUGGUGGGAAAGAUUUAUCGGUCAUGGAUGGACUCGCGGCCUAUCAGCUUGUUGGUGAGGUAAUGGCUCACCAAGGCGACGACGGGUAGCCGGCCUGAGAGGGUGACCGGCCACACUGGGACUGAGACACGGCCCAGACUCCUACGGGAGGCAGCAGUGGGGAAUAUUGCACAAUGGGCGCAAGCCUGAUGCAGCAACGCCGCGUGAGGGAUGACGGCCUUCGGGUUGUAAACCUCUUUUAGUAGGGAAGAAGCGUAAGUGACGGUACCUGCAGAAAAAGCACCGGCUAACUACGUGCCAGCCGCCGCCGUAA